rnacentral:tRNA from 1 species
GUGAGUAUAGCUCAGUGGUAGAGCACAUCCUUAGUAUGCACAAGGUCCUAGGUUCAAUCCCCAGUACUUCUA